rnacentral:rRNA from 1 species
UGGGGAAUUUUGGACAAUGGGCGAAAGCCUGAUCCAGCAAUGCCGCGUGUGUGAAGAAGGCCUUCGGGUCGUAAAGCACUUUUGUCCGGAAAGAAAUCCUUGGCUCUAAUACAGUCGGGGGAUGACGGUACCGGAAGAAUAAGCACCGGCUAACUACGUGCCAGCAGCCGCGGUAAUACGUAGGGUGCAAGCGUUAAUCGGAAUUACUGGGCGUAAAGCGUGCGCAGGCGGUUUGCUAAGACCGAUGUGAAAUCCCCGGGCUCAACCUGGGAACUGCAUUGGUGACUGGCAGGCUAGAGUAUGGCAGAGGGGGGUAGAAUUCCACGUGUAGCAGUGAAAUGCGUAGAGAUGUGGAGGAAUACCGAUGGCGAAGGCAGCCCCCUGGGCCAAUACUGACGCUCAUGCACGAAAGCGUGGGGAGCAAACAGGAUUAGAUACCCCCGGUAGUCCACGCCCUAAAACGAUGUCAACUAGUUGUUGGGGAUUCAUUUCCUUAGUAACGUAGCUAACGCGUGAAGUUGACCGCCUGGGGAGUACGGUCGCAAGAUUAAAACUCAAAUGAAUUGACGGGGUCAUAGCUGUUUCCU